GUAAUGUCUGGGAAACUGCCUGAUGGAGGGGGGUAACUACUGGAAACGGUAGCUAAUACCGCAUAACGUCGCAAGACCACAGAGGGGGACCUUCGGGCCUCUUGCCAUCGGAUGUGCCCAGAUGGGAUUAGCUAGUAGGUGGGGUAACGGCUCACCUAGGCGACGAUCCCUAGCUGGUCUGAGAGGAUGACCAGCCACACUGGAACUGAGACACGGUCCAG
rnacentral:rRNA from 1 species